ACAGACUAAAUACUUUUCCUAGAGAGGUGAGAAGUAACACCAGUCAAGAUGGAAACAAAAAUCCUGUGUUGGAUAUUUUUGCUUGGAUAUUUACAUGCAUCCUCUGGACAAGACUUUGGAUCACUGAUACAUCUACGGAUUAAACUAAUUUCAUAUGGAAAUCUCAGCAAUGAAACCAUCAUUGAACUUGUUAAACAGUCCUUUAGAGACAAUCUCCCGGUUGCCCACACAGUCACAGUGACACACAUUCAAAGGACUGGCCAAACAACUACACUCAUAACCACACCUAUGACAACAACACCAAUGAACACAACCACA